rnacentral:lncRNA from 1 species
GACCGAGUGUCCUCUGGGGACCGCAGCCCGGCCAGCGUGGCCGGCCACACGCGUGCGCUGCUUUGCUUUCCGAACCACCAGCCCAUGGGAGCCAAGGGCUCAGGCUCCCCAUUCAGAGCCUGUAAUGCCACUGAAGCGAAACAGGAAGGGAAACAACGUUCAGAGCAAAGGGUUUCUCCCUCCCGUGACCCUGAAAGAGAGCCAAUGGCAGCCUGCAGGGCCGGGCCAAAGGCUUCGGCAAAAAUCACCCAGCCGAAGGUUCUGCGGCGUGCUGGAGAGCCCGCUCCCCUCAGAGUCAAGAACUGCCCUGGAAUCCUGCGACAUGCCAGCCGUGAUUCCGAGAACCCCUCCACGCAGCCUCCACGCACCUCUCUGAAGAGUGACCCAUACCUCGUCACCCACUGGCUUUCAAGAUCGCCACUGACCCCCCGCCUUUUCCUGCAAGGAGCACCGCAGCCCGCAGGGUCAGCUCCAUCCUCCGGAGUCCUCCGGAUGCAGCCCGGCCUGAGGUCCUUCCUGAACACCUGUCGUCAGGACAUCUGGCCCCGACAGGACCCUCCCUGCCCCUCUAGGCUCCAAGGCGCUGAGGAUCACGAGAGUGCCUGUCUGUCCAGUGGUGUCCCCCUGCCACAGCUGUCGCCCACCCACCUUCAAGCAGAACAGAGCAGAGGGUCGAGUCUGUGUCGCAUCAGCUUUAGAUUCCCGCCUCCCUGUCCUGGGCCGCUCGCCACACCUUCGUCCUGGAGGUUCCCGCCAGCUUGUUCACAAACCGAAGGCCUCGGGUUUCUCUCCCCAGACUGUCCCAGCGUCCCCUUCAGAGAGGAGGCUGGCAUCUGA